GACGAGCCACACGAACGUUAUUCGGAAUUACUGGGCUUAAAGGGUGCGUAGGCUGCGCGGAAAGUUGGGUGUGAAAUCCCUCGGCUUAACCGGGGAACUGCGUCUGAUACUGGAUGGCUUGAGUUCGGGAGAGGGAUGCGGAAUUCCAGGUGUAGCGGUGAAAUGCGUAGAUAUCUGGAGGAACACCGGUGGCGAAGGCGGCAUCCUGGACCGACACUGACACUGAGGAGCGAAAGCCAGGGGAGCAAACGGG
rnacentral:rRNA from 1 species